rnacentral:rRNA from 1 species
UACGGAGGGUGCAAGCGUUAUCCGGAUUCACUGGGUUUAAAGAGCGCGUAGGCGGUUUGGUAAGUUGGAAGUGAAAUCCCGGAGCUUAACUUCGGAAUUGCUUUCAAAACUACUUGACUAGAGUAUGGUAGGGGGUGAUGGAAUUCCUAGUGUAGAGGUGAAAUUCUUAGAUAUUAGGAGGAACACCGGUGGCGAAGGCGGUCACCUGGGCCAUUUACUGACGCUGAGGCGCGAAAGCGUGGGGAGCAAACAGG